GACAGAGGUCUCAAGCGUUAGGCGGAAUCACUGGGCUUAAAGCGUGUGUAGGCGGAUCGUUAAGUGCCUUGUGAAAUCCCACAGCUCAACUGUGGAACUGCUUGGCAUACUGGCGGUCUUGAGCCAUCUAGGGGUCGCUGGAACAAACGGUGGAGCGGUGAAAUGCGUAGAUAUCGGGAGGAACACCGGUGGCGAAGGCGGCCUUCUGGACGGAUACUGACGCUGAGACGCGAAAGCGUGGGGAGCAAACAGG
rnacentral:rRNA from 1 species